AAGCUGUGAUGAGGGCACUUAUACAACAGUCCUUGAAAUCUCUCUCAUGUGGUGUACAAUGAUUCCCCAUCCAUCUAUGUAAAACUCAUAAUUUUCUUCCUUAGUUC